rnacentral:lncRNA from 10 species
CCUGUUUUUCCACUCAAAUGUUGCCUUAUGGCCUUCCCCACACCCCAUCCUGUACCCAUAAAAACCCCAGGCUUCACUGGCAGAACUGCAGUGUGGCAGAGCGGCAGAGAGGGAGAGAUGAGGCAGGCAGACAUCAGAGAGAAGCAGCUUGACUUCAAAGGCACAGCUUGAUGGCAGGACUUUGGAGAAGAGUUUGGCCGGGGACAGAGGAACUCCAGGGGAAGACUACCUUCCCACUCGAUCCACUUUCCAGCUCCCCAUCCUGCUGAGAGCCACUUCCACCACUCAAUAAAAUCCUCCACAUUCUCCACUCUUCAAUUUGUUUGUGCAACCUGAUUCUUCCUGGAUACCAGACAAGAACUCAGGUACCAAGAGGGUACAUGCAAAAGGAUAUCACCCUGACCCUCCACUGAGCUAUUAAACACUUAAGCCAUCCGUGAAUGGCAAAGCUAAAAGAGCACAUUGUAACACACCCACUCUGGGGCUCCGCAGGUUACAGGUACCCUACAAGAUACCACCAUGGGGCAGCACAGAGUUAUACUCCUGUUGGCACCCAGGAGCACUCGAUCUGGCCUCUGCACCUGCUCACCUGCAUGCUCCCCCUCCUGUGAAGGCUUGAGAGCUGCAGGCUGAGUAAAUGAGCCAACUUCUUCAUGAGUCCUGUGAAGAGAUCAAGGGAACUAUCUCGUUUCAGUGAGUCUUUGUCUAUUCGGGCUGCCAUAACAAAAUACCAUAGACUGGAUGGCUUAAACAACAUAAAUUUAUUUCUCAACGUAAUGGAGGCUGGAAAUUUCCUAUCAUGAUGCUGGGAAGCAGACCAGUGCAAUGGGACCAACAAGCCAUUAGGAUGGAAAAGGCCAUCUAGUGGUGGUUCAAAGCAAGGCCUCUGGAGUCUGGCUGCCUGGGUUUGAAUUCCAGCUCUGCCAUUUACUUAGCCUCCCUCUGUGGGAAUGAACCCACCUGCAAAAUGCAGCAGACUGUGUCCGUCUUCCACCUCUGCACCAACACCAAUUCCUGUGUCAAGUUUCCAACAAAUGGAAAUCAUCGGAAGAGUACCGCCAAGUUCAGUGGUGAUGGUAUUGUGUGAGCGAGUUGGAGCCUAGCCCCUUCCUAAAGAUGAAGGAGGAAGAUGGAGGAUGCACAGGAUAAAAGAAUCUACGAAUUUAUCAUCAGAUGCUUAGAAGUUCCAUGUUCCACAAGGAAAAUGUACACCAGUGGUCAAAAUCCCUUAUGACUUCUCCCCAGAUGACAGCAAGACCUUAUUACUGUGGAAGGGCUUCAAUCCUGUAAAUUAAAUGGCUAUCACUUUUUUUUUCUCAAUAAAGAUAAACUGAGGACAUUUACCUUGAGGGCACCAGAAGCUAAUUUAUAUGUAAAAAGCUGUAUUAAAGAACAACAGUAGCAGCUCUAUGCUACGAAUUGUGCAAAAGUGAUCAAAAAGCAGUGCUGCAGCUAGCAAUUCAGAGGCAGAAUCUUUUUUUCUUGAUGGACUCAGUCAUUACUUUUUUUUAUUUGGUUUUAAAUUCCAAUAUUCUUGGCAUCAUUCCAACAUGCAUUGUUCUAAGAAAAUAUAAAGGGAAUGUCAAAUUAUAAUUUCUUGGAACACUUAAUUUGUCACCAGGAAAGAACAAUGUAACUCUGAGACAGUAGAAGGAUUUACUUCUGGGCCUGUUAAUUUUAGUGAAACUGAAGAAUAAACAUUCAAUGUUAUGACCUUGGGAAAUAUUUCAUUCUCUUUAUUUCAUCCUCAUCUUGAUAUAUAAAUGCCAUAAUUAACAGUUUGGGGUUUAUUUAUUGCAACAAAGCAGAUAUGUGGCACAUGAUUUAAUCUCUAAAAGCAAUUUCAAUUUGGCCUAUUUGUCAUUUAGGGCGUGUGCCCAAUUUAAAAUGAUUUCUGCUUGCUCAAGUCUCUCUUACACACACAUGCUCAGUGAUCAAAUAUUUAGAUUUAUAUAAAGUUCUUGACACUAACAAUAAAAAGGCAGCAUUUAAGUAAACUGCAAAAUGCCAGAAAGGCCUAAGAAACUCAAAUAUAAUAUUGAGGAACAUUGCUAGUAUAGGGAUCAUGGAGAAUAUAUUUUUAUUUUGCUUUGCUGACUAUAUGUACUGAGUUUUCAUAAAUAAAAAGAAGUCAUGUGUCCUAAAAAAAGUCUGUCAAAGUUGGCUGGUUUUAUGUGCAUCACAAUAUUUUAUUUAAUGAGGAACUCAAUUUGAAUUUUGAUUAAAGCAAUUAAUAGAAAGUACGGGCCCUAUUAGGAGUAAUCUGUGGCAAGUUUUUCUGAUUACAAGGAAACAUUCAAUUCAUACAUUUUUAUUCUUACAAAAGAUUCUAGAUAAAGAAAAGUAAAAGAAAAUUAUAAAUAUCAACAAAUAUUAUUUUUUCAAACAUCAUUUUUAUCAUUAGAUGUACCAUUAUUUCAGAUUUAUAGAACAGAUGGUUUAUGAGAACAUUAUACAUCUGAACAUUAAUCCAUUAAAAAUAUUAGCUGGAUUCAUUAAUGUAUACAGCAUCUUUUUCACGUAGAUCAGUUGGAAAGUUUAAAAUAAACAGCACUUGGCACAUAUUAAAACAUAAUAUUAGUUGCAGAUAAUUUUUAGGGUCAAGUUAAUUUUUAGGCUGGUUUAGUUUUCCCUGCACAUCUUCUACAUUUCCUUCGUUGUACUUGUCAAAUUAUAACAAUUGAAUAAUUGUCUAAUUUUUGAUAUGUCUUUUCUGUUAUGUUUUGAACCCCAGGAGAGUUGGAACUGUUUCUCUGUUCACUAAGCUUAAUAUUUAGGCCACUGCUUAAAAGAUAGAGGCGCUCAAUAAAGAUGUGCUUAAUGAAUAUAGGAUUGAAUGAUCUAUACCACGAGUAGGCAAAUUAUGGCUCGAAUCCAGCCUAUUGCCUGUUUUUUACAGCCUUCAUGUGAAGAAUGGUUUUUCCAUAUUUGAAUGGGUUGAUUUUUUCACAUGGUUAAAUAAGUACCUAAAUGAUAGAUUCAAUUUUGCCUCUUGUCCCAUAAAUCCUAAAAUAUUUACUAUCUAAUACUUUAAGAAAAGGUUUUCUGACCCUGGACUAGACAAGCAGUAAGUAAUACAACGGCUGUGAUGAUAAAAAUAUUCUAUAUUUGUGCUGAGCAAUAGGAUAGCCACAAACCACAUGUGGCUAUUGAGCACAUGAAAUUUAUCUAGGAUCACCACACUUUUAAUUUAAUUUUAAUUAAUUUCAAUAAUUCUAUGUGGCCAGUAGCUAGUGUGUCAGACAUCAGCAGAUCUAGAUAUGUAAAAGAAUAGCUUCAUGUAAAGACAGUAAACAAUUACCUGAAGCUCAACUCUGUACAAGGAAAAAUGUAAAAAUAUGUGCUAACUUGGUAGUUAGUUGGUCUUUCUCGCAAUAAAAAAAAUUGGAAAUAACUAAACUAUCUACCACCAGUUCAUUAAAACAACUAAUGUUAUGACAAAAUGUUGAAAAGGCCUAAAGGUAAGAAUUAGUUCAUUUAAUUUGACAGUUACACAGGAACUCAUUUAAAAUAAGCAGUGGCUUUUCAUUCCAUAAACUGUACAUGAGAAACAAUUGUUUUGGAUAAGGCGGAUAAUGUUAAUGUUUUAUUAACAAAUAAAUGAAAGAAAUUUCCUUUAUGAAGAUUUUAACAUUUUUCUUUGCAUUAUUGAUUCAAAUAUCAAUUAUUUGCAAGGAAAUUCUUAAAACACGUAGAGUCCUUAUUGAUUUAAAUAUCAAUUAUUUGCAAGGAAAUUCUUAAAACACAUAGAGUCCUAUUAAAAGAAAGUGUGCUAUGUAAUGCAGUAGGCAAAUAUUAGAGCACAUAAACAUGCUAAAACAGUGCUAUAAUCUAGUAGUCUCCCCAAAUCGUUAGAAUUAAUGCAGGUAUUAAAAUGAACUGAGAAGUAAAGAUUCAAAUUGAAGAGUGAAGUUUACAACACCCACAACCACAUAUGAUUUCAAGUCUUUAAGAUGAUAAGCACUUAAAGGGAAUUCUGAAGUAUGUGCUAUUUAGGAUUGAAAUUGUUUGGUGCUAUUAUUUACAACAAAGUAAGUAAAAAAGGGAACAUUAGAAUAUAUUUCCUUUUCAUGCUUACACUGUUUCUGACAUGUCUAUGUAUGAAAUAAUAUCUUCCCAAGUAAAACUACUUUGGCUGCACUCUUUUAUUUCAAAUGAUUUUAUCAUUAGGGAAAAAUUUGAAAUCAUGGCGGACAAAUAAUCCCUUAAUGCUCUUCUUGGCUAGCAAGUAAUUUAUCAAAGCAAUCCAAUUUCCAAAUAGCAUACAAACUCAGUAAGUUGCUGAGCCAAUGCAUCUGUUCCUCUCAGUAUUUAGAGCAUGAACAAAUGCCUUUCCUUUGGGCGGGGGGAAAACCUGAGCUUGAAUUCUCUAAAAGGGCAAGUUAGCUUUAGUAACACUAAUAACUAGUAACUCAUAAUUUCUCUCUGAUAAAACUUUAAGAUUAAAAAAAACUCAGGCUUUAUUGAAAAAUAAUUUACAUGCAGUAAUACUGACCCCUUUUAAGUAUACAGUUCAGUGAGUUUUAACAAACAUACAAGUUGUAUAUCUACAACCAAAAUUAAGAUUUGGGAUAUUUUCAAUCACUGCAGAAAAUUCCCGCAUGUUUCUUUGUAGACAAUGCCUCUCUUCCCUCACAGUCCACAGGCAACCAGUGAUAUGUUUUCUGUUUCCACAGUUUUUCUAGAAUGUCAUAUAAAUGAACCAUAUAACAUGUAGUCUAUUGUGCCUGGCUUAUUUUACUUAGCCACUUAGUAUAAUGAGAUUUUGAAAUUCACCCGUGUUGUUGCAUAUAUUGGUAGUUUGUCCAUUUUUGCUGCUUAGCUGUAUUCCAUUGUAUGAAUAUACCACAAUAUUUUUAGCCAUUUUCCUGUUAAUGGAAUUUUGGCUACUGUGAAUAAAACAACUAUUAACAUUUGCUGUGUGAACAUAUGUUUUCAUUCCUCUUGAGUAAAUAUCUAUGAGUGGAAUUGUUGGGUCAUAGGGUAAGUAUAUGUUUAACUUUAUAAAAGUCUGUCACAUUGUUCUCCAAAAUAACCCUAUUGUUCAUAUUCCCAUCCACAACAUAUUAGUGCUCUGGUUGUUCUGUAUUGUCUCCAAUGAUUAAUGUUAUCAAUUCUUUUAAUUUUAACCAUUCUAUUGGCAGUAUAGUGAUAUCUCUUUGUACUUUUGAUUUCUAUUUCCCCUGAUGACUAAUGAUAUUGUGUAUUUUUCCAUGUGUUUAUUGGCCAUCUGUACAUCUUCAUUGAUGGACAUUUGUUCCAACUCUUUGCCUUUCUUUUUACUGAGUUGAAUGUUUUGUUAUUUAUGUAUUCUGCAUGCAAGUUAUCAGGUGCGUGCUUUGCAGUUUUUCUUUUAUCAAUGUGUGGCCUGUAUUUCAUUUUCUUAACAGUUCUUUUGAAGUGCAGACAUUUACAAUUUUGACUAAGUCCAAUUUGUCAAUUUUUUGGCUUAUGGUUUGUGUUUUUGUGUCCUGAGAAAGAUUUUCUUAACCAAAGGUCACAAAGAUUUUCUACAUUUUCGUCAAGAAAUACUUUAGUUUGUCAUAUUACGUAUUUUACUAUGUAUUUGAAACAUUGUCAGAGAAGAAGUAUAAAGGCAUUUCCAGACUGUCAAAAGGUCCAUGGUCCAGAAAUAGUUUAGCUAUGCCAUUUUUAUUCCCAUUUUCCAGGCCUACUACUCCUUAGGUUGUCCUUUACCCUGGGAAGUACAUUACAAUAUCUUUAAUGCUUCCAUUUUGAAUAUUGCAUUAUAACCAGCUUUGCCUUAUCUUAUAUAGUUUAGUUCAAUAAACCUUAAUUGAAUGAGAAUCUCCAUGUCAGAACCUGGAGAUUCAAAGAUGAAUCAGAUGAUUUCUAUCUAUGAAGAAUUCAUAUCCAAUAUUGUAGGUAGAUACAUAAAUAGGCCAUGGUACUAUAAUGUUUAUGUGAUCCAAUAAUCACAUAUGAGAGUGACCUAGAUGAUGUUCUUACCCCUAUCUUAGGUGGUGGUAGAGGUGUGGGCAGAAUAUCAGGAAAUGCUUCCCUCAGGAAUUGAUGUGCAUGAGGAAUCCUGGAGAAUAAGAAGGCAUGAAGUAGAGAUGAAAGAGAAUGUUUCACACAAAGGAAACAUAUGCAAGCAUCAACUCAACUCUAUGCCUACAGUUCUGGGGCAGAAGAACUGCCAAGGGAGAAAUUAUGCAUUGCCUGCCCCCAGUUCCCUCAGGAUACAUUACAUUAAGGAAGAAAUCAUUCUCAAAAUGUGGAAGCCAAAGCAAACUCCCAUUCUUGACUAGAAUAUUCAGCUUGCCAUUUACCAUUCCAUUCUGAGAGGCAAAAGUUCUUUCUCUCAGUCCCUUUUCCCCAGAAACUGUGAGAAGGUGCAGAGUUGUUGGAUGAAGAAGCCCGUUCAUCAAGGGCUCCUCCCUGUUUCCUGUGCUCUUUCUCAACCCAAACUCAGUGUGCCUCCUUGGCCUUAGCAGUUUCCUUCACUCCUGGACUGAUGGGUGGCACAUGAUUGUGCACUUAAAUACCACAGUACAAACGGGAGGAACACCUGGCUAAUAACUCACAGCCCCAAUUUCUCAUUCAGUACCUUAGCCCAUGUAACCCAGACUAGCUAGAGCAGUGAAGGUCCUCUCUCAUCCUUGAUUACAUGCAUCAUUUAUUACAUCCUAAACAGAGAUGAUUACAUUCCAAUUUCAACUGUCCUUAAAACAUUUCUUUAGGCUCACAGAAACAUCAGCAGCAGCUUUUCCUCAGCUAAUUAGAGACUAAUUGACUCUUUAGCACUGUUAUCAGCUGUGACAGAGCCCUUCCUGCCUCCUGUCUGCCAGCGUACUUGGGACCAUGCCUCUGUGAAGGACUUCAAUUUCUCUUUACAAGAAUCAACGUGGAGCAAACUCCAGUUGCCUACUGCCUAGCAUUCUUGCUAAGAUACGUAUGUAAAUAAAAUGUCUUUAUAUACCUGAGAAUUUAUCUAUGUAGUUCAAGAAUUGUCUUCUUUGCUUAGUUAUCCUACCUUUGAAGGUUUCUGCUUCCAAUUGUUGAGGUGAUGUUACAUCUUUCUGAGGAAGAAGAUGAUACCCUUUUUUGUCCUCCGUAAAAAAGCUUUGUGUGGUGUGGGGUGUGUGUGUGUGUGUCUGUGUGAGCAUUUUGAAUUAUGACCACUGCAUUUCAUGACUUCACUUACCUUGAAUUAUUCUUUUCUCUCAGAGGAUGGACUAAUUUAUUUUCUCCAUAGAGGAUCAGUGUGUUAAUUUCCUUCCUUUCCUCCAAAGCAUAUUCUGAAUGCUUUCACUGCUAGGCAUAGGACAAACAGUUAAAAUGAUAUAUUUUCUGCUCCUCCAGGUCAAAUAGAGGGAUGCAAAAGUUUUAAAAUUAAGUGUAAUAAAGUGCUAUCGAUGUUGUCAUAGGCAUCUGUACAGAGUAUAGUUGGGACAUAAUAAAAAGAUAGCGAUUUCCUGUGGAGGCAGGAUCAUAAAUAUUAAAGGACAACAUAGGAAAGUGUUGACAGGAAGAGAGAGGGAAGUUAGCUUUCCUGGAAGGGAGACUAGGGAGAGCAAAGUCCAGAUGGAGGGAACAACUUGAGAUGUUGUGGGAGUCACAGAAAGUCUGGAUAACUUGAAACCUGGGGUUAGAUGGAGUGCAGCAAAAUAUUAUGUUGAUGAAAUAGCCAGGGGAAGCCUCAUGGAGGAUUUGAAUGCCAUGCGAAAAUGUUGAGGGUUUCCUGUAAGAACAUCGGAUGGCCACAGAAGAGUUAUGAGCAGGGUUAGGAUACUGAUGCCAGGAAACUAAAAGGGCAGCUCAGAGGCCCUGAGCUUAGACAGUAGCAGUGGGACUGGAAGAAGAGGGAGUCAAAAGAAAUGAAAAAGGUAGAAUGAAUAUAACAAUGUUUAAGUGAAUUAAAAGGAGAGAGCUUCCUAGGAUGAUUUUUGGUUUUCAGCUGAGGGUUUCCUUCACCAAAAAGAAGUACUAAAAAAAAGGGAAGUUUUGACAGGGAAGUUCCAUUUUAGAUAAUUUCAUUUUGAGGGCUAGUAAAAUGUAUUUGGGGAGCGGCAAUAUUCACCAGGCAUCUGGAUAAGCAGGACUCGAACUCAGGAGAGAGAUCCUAGAAAUUAAUAUCUGGGCCUCAUCAGUAUAUUGGCAGUAUGGGAAGCCAUGGCCAUGCCCCUUGGAAAGAGAAUAGGUUGAAGAAAGCCCAAGGUCAGAGCUCUGAAUGAAGAAGACUAAUAUUUAAAGGAAAAAUAGAGAAGAAUCUGCAAAGAAGGCUGGGAGACAAUAGACAGUGAAUGGAAAGGAAAAACCAUAGGAAUAGUGGUUCUUUGGCUUCCAGAAAGCAACUCAGGUAUCAGGUGUUCCCUCUACCUCCUUGGAUCUUAUGACAUUUCUGUCUUUCCGUCUGUAUUGCCUUAAUCUCUCCUCUCUCAUGAUCUCUUCAUAUAUAGUUGUUAAUUCCCCAUAACAUUGGCUUCACAUGGUCAAACACUGUCUCUGGAGUUUCUUUAUAUACUGUGACCUUUCAGCUUCUAUCCCCAUGUUGUUUCUUCCCUCUCCCUUCUGCCAUUUCCCCUCUCCCCUCUCCUCUCCUCUCUUCUCUUCUUUUGAUGGAAUCUCGCUCAUGGUGCUCCACACCUGUAA